rnacentral:rRNA from 1 species
AGGUAAGCUACUAAGAGCGAAUGGUGGAUGCCUUGACUGGUAAAGGCGAUGAAGGACGUACUAGACUGCGAUAAGCUACGGGGAGCUGUCAAGAAGCUUUGAUCCGUAGAUUUCCGAAUGGGGCAACCCAAUGUAUAGAGAUAUACAUUACCUAUAUAGGAGCGAACGAGGGGAAUUGAAACAUCUUAGUACCCUCAGGAAAAGAAAUCAAUAGAGAUUGCGUCAGUAGCGGCGAGCGAAAGCGCAAGAGGGCAAACCCAGUGCUUGCACUGGGGGUUGUAGGACUGCAAUGUGCAAGAGCUGAGUUUAGCAGAACAUUCUGGAAAGUAUAGCCAUAGAGGGUGAUAGUCCCGUAUGCGAAAAACAAAGCUUAGCUAGCAGUAUCCUGAGUAGGGCGGGACACGAGGAAUCCUGUCUGAAUCCGGGUCGACCACGAUCCAACCCUAAAUACUAAUACCAGAUCGAUAGUGCACAAGUACCGUGAGGGAAAGGUGAAAAGAACUGAGGUGAUCAGAGUGAAAUAGAACCUGAAACCAUUUGCUUACAAUCAUUCAGAGCACUAUGUAGCAAUACAGUGUGAUGGACUGCCUUUUGCAUAAUGAGCCUGCGAGUUGUGGUGUCUGGCAAGGUUAAGCAAACGCGAAGCCGUAGCGAAAGCGAGUCUGAAUAGGGCGCUUAGUCAGAUGCUGCAGACCCGAAACGAAGUGAUCUAUCCAUGAGCAAGUUGAAGCUAGUGUAAGAACUAGUGGAGGACUGAACCCAUAGGCGUUGAAAAGCCCCGGGAUGACUUGUGGAUAGGGGUGAAAGGCCAAUCAAACUUCGUGAUAGCUGGUUCUCUCCGAAAUAUAUUUAGGUAUAGCGUUGUGUCGUAAUAUAAGGGGGUAGAGCACUGAAUGGGCUAGGGCAUACACCAAUGUACCAAACCCUAUCAAACUCCGAAUACCUUAUAUGUAAUCACAGCAGUCAGGCGGCGAGUGAUAAAAUCCGUCGUCAAGAGGGAAACAACCCAGACUACCAGCUAAGGUCCCUAAGUCUUACUUAAGUGGAAAACGAUGUGAAGUUACUUAAACAACCAGGAGGUUGGCUUAGAAGCAGCCAUCCUUUAAAGAAAGCGUAAUAGCUCACUGGUCUAGUGAUUUUGCGCGGAAAAUAUAACGGGGCUAAAGUAAGUACCGAAGCUGUAGACUUAGUUUACUAAGUGGUAGGAGAGCGUUCUAUUUGCGUCGAAGGUAUACCGGUAAGGAGUGCUGGAGCGAAUAGAAGUGAGCAUGCAGGCAUGAGUAGCGAUAAUUAAUGUGAGAAUCAUUAACGCCGUAAACCCAAGGUUUCCUACGCGAUGCUCGUCAUCGUAGGGUUAGUCGGGUCCUAAGUCGAGUCCGAAAGGGGUAGACGAUGGCAAAUUGGUUAAUAUUCCAAUACCAACAUUAGUGUGCGAUGGAAGGACGCUUAGGGCUAAGGGGGCUAGCGGAUGGAAGUGCUAGUCUAAGGUCGUAGGAGGUUAUACAGGCAAAUCCGUAUAACAAUACUCCGAGAACUGAAAGGCUUUUUGAAGUCUUCGGAUGGAUAGAAGAACCCCUGAUGCCGUCGAGCCAAGAAAAGUUUCUAAGUUUAGCUAAUGUUGCCCGUACCGUAAACCGACACAGGUGGGUGGGAUGAGUAUUCUAAGGCGCGUGGAAGAACUCUCUUUAAGGAACUCUGCAAAAUAGCACCGUAUCUUCGGUAUAAGGUGUGGUUAGCUUUGUAUUAGGAUUUACUCCGAAAGCAAGGAAACUUACAACAAAGAGUCCCUCCCGACUGUUUACCAAAAACACAGCACUCUGCUAACUCGUAAGAGGAUGUAUAGGGUGUGACGCCUGCCCGGUGCUCGAAGGUUAAUUGAUGGGGUUAGCAUUAGCGAAGCUCUUGAUCGAAGCCCGAGUAAACGGCGGCCGUAACUAUAACGGUCCUAAGGUAGCGAAAUUCCUUGUCGGUUAAAUACCGACCUGCAUGAAUGGCGUAACGAGAUGGGAGCUGUCUCAAAGAGGGAUCCAGUGAAAUUGUAGUGGAGGUGAAAAUUCCUCCUACCCGCGGCAAGACGGAAAGACCCCGUGGACCUUUACUACAGCUUGACACUGCUACUUGGAUAAGAAUGUGCAGGAUAGGUGGGAGGCUUUGAGUAUAUGACGCCAGUUGUAUAUGAGCCAUUGUUGAGAUACCACUCUUUCUUAUUUGGGUAGCUAACCAGCUUGAGUUAUCCUCAAGUGGGACAAUGUCUGGUGGGUAGUUUGACUGGGGCGGUCGCCUCCCAAAUAAUAACGGAGG